rnacentral:rRNA from 1 species
GUAACUGCAGAGACUGGAGUUGGUUGUCGCUGGCCCUUUACCGGGGCAUGUGCACGCCUUUCUCUAUUCAUCCACACACACACCUGUGAACUUGUGAGACGGAUAGUAGUCCUCCAGGGGACGAGGUCCGUCUGUCAAUACAUAAACUCCAGUUAAUAAAAUUGAAUGUCAUUUGAUGUAACACAUCAAUAAACUAAGUUUCAA